UCCUCUCCUCCCUUCGUAAUACGUUUGUCUCAAGGCACCGCCUUCCAUCUUCUCUAAACACCAGAAACCACUAUCAACGGGAGAAAGAACCACCGUCUCCACCAUUUCAUUACUUAGGGUGUCUACAAUCGGCGUAAUAUAUGUCUAUGUAGCAAAGUAUUGUUUUUAAAACUUGACCUUAUAUCUAUCUAUGCCCAUUUUCACUGGGCAGCUUCCUCUCCUUCUUUCGUAAUACAUUUCUAUCAAGUCAGUGCCUUCCAUCUUCUCUAAGCACCGGAAACCACCGUCAACAGGAGAAAGAACCACCAUUUUCUCCGUACCUCAACCAUCGUAGCGAGUUUGGAAUCCAGUCUAUUCCAGUCCACUCCAUUGGCAACACCACGAACACUCACAUCUUCAUCCUCCGACCACCACUCCUCUCAAGACCUCGCCGUCCUUCUCGAAGUCGAAGGGGUUCUCAUGGAUUCGCACCGCGUCGGAAAGUGUCUCGCCUUCGAUAAAGCGUUCGAGAAGCUCGGGCUCGAUUGCGCGAACUGGAGUGAACUGGAGUGAUCUUUCCAAGAGAAGUGCUGGAGAUGAGGAAAAAAUGGUAUUUCUGUAUUUUAAUCGGAUUGGGUGGCCUUCUUCGUUACCUACAAAUGAGAAGGGACUGUUUGCAAAAAGAGUUUUGCAGCAAAAGAUUUUGUCCUUACUCUUGAUCUUGAUGAAUGGUAUAGUACUAAUAAUCAGUGUGCUUUUUUACUUUGUUGUACAAGGAAUGCUAGGUAUAUUAAAUGCAAUUAGUUAACUAGGACUGUGUUGUUGAUGACAACAUAGAGUUGUGCUGAAACUGUCCUGAUUCCGGUGAAUUUAUAAUGAAAGAUCUGGUGGCAACAACUUAAGAUAAUAAUACAUG